GCCAGGGGGCGCUGUGCGGGCGGCGCGGCCUCGGGCUCCCUCCUGCUCCCCUGGGGAGCUGAGGAGGGGUGGGGGCGACCCUGGCCUGACCUCUGGGCGGCGCAGACAGGAAGGAAAGGUGCCCUCGCUGUGCAAGGGUGGCGCGUCCCCUCCCCCAGCAUCCUCUAAGCAGUCCCCUCGUGAGCCACUUGGGGGGCGCGUGCGUACUAGGGCCACCCCCCCUCCCAUCUUCCCAGCUAGCCUGAACGAUACAACUGGGCAACAGAGGGAAAACAGUGUUCGCCCGGGCCACCCCCAAACCUGGCUGGGCUGCCUAUGGACUGUGUGACUUUGGUUAACCACAGGUCAUCCCCAUGAGACAGAUGCCAUUAGAUGCAGUUUAGAGAGGAAGAAGCUAAAAUUGAGGGAGGUGAAGGGACUUGCGCCAGACCAGUGAAGUGUUAGGUGUCGAGUCGUGGGCUGCAACUGGGAAAGCACAUACUAAGCAUGGAGUUUGCCUGAAAAACCUAACUUCUUGAACCCAGCUCUGCCCCUUGGAUUGCUCAUGACCCCACACCAUCUUGAACUGAGCCCAACGGCAGGAUCACUCAGUGCCGCGAGGCUCGAGCUCAGCGCAAGCCGCCCCACUCCAGAAGGGUGAGCAGGGAGGUGGGGGCCUCUGAGGCAUCUUCCCAUGCUGGGAAGCCGACAUCCUGCACGUCACAGGAGGCGGAGCCAGAACAGGGCUGAGUAUCCAGCGAGGGCAAUGGACCCUGGGAGGAGAGAUGGAGCUGGUUUGGGAGGACAAAGGCUCUGGGGGGCUGGGCUCCCCCAUCCACCCAGGGCCCCACCUCCUGCUGCUUUAUUCCAUUCUCUGCGAGACCCAGAGCUCGGUACUAAGGACAUGAGGUUGUCUCUAGGGAGGCCGCUGCUGCUGCUGGGAUCCUGACCAUAUGCAGCCUGAGCCCCUGGUUCCCCAUGUGCCCCAGGCCAUCCAGGGAUUGGUCUGGGGACUCAGACCUGGCCUUCGUACCCUUCUACAGGAGUCUGGUGGCUCCUCCUGACAUCCCCCAUCCUGGUACUAUCUCAAGGUGUGAGCUCAGCCCUGGGCAGCUCAGGAAAAGGUAGCAAUGGGGACGGGGCAUCUUAGUCACAGGUGUAGCUCUGGGGGGCUAUGAUCAUCAUUCGUUCAUUCUCUCAUUCAUUUAUUCAUCCAUGUACCAAACGGUGACUGAACACAACUGAACCAGGGCCUGAGCUCUGGGGAGGCCGGGAGCUCUGGGGGUCAGUGACCCAGUCUGCUGCUGGGGGUCAGGAAAGGCUCUGCAGAAGAGAGGUCUUUGAGGUGAGAGCUGAGCCACGAGGGGGAGUCCAGCAGCUCAGAGGAGGGUGUGAGGGUCCUCCGGUGGGCAGUGUCACCAGGUGAAGGAGCUGGGUUCUGCGUCGGCUAGAGCGGGGCAGGGCACGGAGGGCAGGGGAACAGGAUGCAGCCUGUGAUUCUGAGCGUCCGCCUGGCGCUGGAGUGAAUUCGGGCCCAGAAGGGGCGACAGGGAGCAGGCAGAAAGCUGAGAAGCCAAAGGCAUGGACCUGGUGGGAGAGGUCGGAGGGACGGAGGCCAGGCGGGCUGCGUGCUGGCAGGUGGCCUGCGACCCCGCCUCCCUGUUCUCGCGCCCUCUCUGCUCCUGUCCCCUUGAAUCUGGGCUGCCCUGUGACCUGCUUUAACCAACAGGAGGUGACAGCAGUGACUCUGGACCAGUUCUGGGCCUAAGUCCUAAGGAGGCUGGGCGGCUUCUGCUGGUGUCCUUGUGAGCAGUGGGACUGUCCUGAAGCCGCCAUGGUCCAGGAAGCCCAACCCAGCCGUACGGAGAGGCUGCACAAAGCACUGUGGUCAGGACCAGCAACCGCGGCUUCCAGCCACAGGACCGAGGCGCCCUGGAAGUGGGUCCUCCGGCGGAUACAGGACAGCAGACAAGCUGUCCCUGCUGAACCCCACCCACUGCACAGCCGUGAGCAAAUAAAAGGGUCAAGUCACUAAGCUUUGGGGUAGCAUGUUCCGCAGUCACAACCGAAACACUGGGACUAAGACCUAACCCUAACAGCUACCACUGCCUGGCCCCGAUGGCAGGCCGGGCUAAGGGCAUGACCUUCCAUUAGAAUUCGAGCAAUCCUAUAUAUUCGUAUUGGCAUCAUUUCCACUUUAAAGAGGGCAACACUGAGGCACAGAGAGGUGAAGAAUUUUCACAAGCUCACACAGCUCAUCACUGGCUGAGCUCAGACUGGAACUCAACCCGGCUUGUUUCGGAGCCUGUGCUCUUUAUGACUCUCUGGCGGAUGUUUUGGAGGAAGGGACUGCACUUGGCGAUGAAUUCAGUACCCCAGGGCUCUAAGGCCCAUCUGCAGGUGAGACUUGCAGUAAAAGAGACAGUGUCAGUAGCGUGCUGGACGGGGUCUGGCGGGAAGGGCACGUGAGCUCAGCUCACUGCUCUGUUAGCUUUUCAGAAUGAUGUCUGCUUCCUGGCGGCCUGGGCACGUGGCACAGGGAGUUUCUUGAAGAUGAAAGCACUUCGUAGGCCGCUUAUUACAAAACCCCCCGACACCACUGGUGCUAGGAGCUCAUAGACAGGGUCUCGCUUACUUUUCACAGCGGCCCCGUGAUGGCCAUACGUUAUCACACUCAUUUACAAGUGAGAAUGUGGACACCUGCCCUGGGUAUGCAAGCUCUCAGGGUCACACGGUUCAUGGGAGCCUGGACUGGAAUCUGGGCUGUCUGACCAGCCCCCUGCCCCCUACAGCUGAGGGUCUCCACCUGGGCCUGCCUCCCCUUCUCUCAUCCUCUCCUCCAUCAUCGUUCUCAUCUGUGUCAGGGGUUGGGCCGAAAUCCAGCGUGCCCACGCCAUAUGAACACCGCCAUCGGCUCAUGGACAUCCUGGAGUUGGAAGGGACCUCACAUGUUAACACGGCCUCCUUGUCGUUCAUGGGAGAUCAGAGGUCCAGCAAGGCUGGAUCCACUUCACAUCAAGCGUUUCUUGAGGGCCUACUAUGUGCCAGGCACUGAAAGGUGAGUCAGUGACAAGUUUGGGCUACCCACCAUCAACUUCAGCUUCUGCUCUGUUUCAGUUUCUGAAACGAGAAGCAGAAAUGGGGCCUCUCAAGCCCCGUCUCUCAAAAUAUGUCCUGUGCGCUUUCCCCACAGUGCAUGGAAGCCAACUAAUUUGGAUUUAGAUGUCUGGUUAAACAUGUUAACUAGCACCCUUCUCCCCAUAUUAUCCCUCAUCAAUAGCACCGCUAUUGUUAUUCACUUUACAGACUCAUUGUUCUGGUUUCUUUUUUUUUUUUUAAAUAAAGUGUGUGACUCUGGGGAAGGUAGAUUCUGUUUGAAGCAAGCCUACACUGUUUUGUACUAGAAAAGGCUAUGGAUUCUAUAAGGACUGCUAUGCUUUUUCUUUUCUCUUAAUGAGACUUAAGUUUUAUUUCUCUUUUUCCUUUGGCUGCCAGGGAGCUCAGGGAAAAUUUAAAGUUUGGCUUUGGCAAGUACGAAGGCCCUAAAGCAGGCCUUCCCAUUUCUGCUUUUGUUUCCUAAUUUGGCUUUUCUACUUUUAUUUGCAUUUUCUCAGGUCCUUGAUUUUAAACAAUUAAAAUUUUAAAAAAUUAUUACCAUUGUGUUAUCUUUAUUUUAUUCUAAGUGAUCUCCUUAGAAGCUACUUCCAAUCCUUUGUGGAAUAACACAGGAGUAUAAGUGAAUAAGUGAAUGUAACACAUUCUAUUUUAAACCAGGAGUCGGUAAACCUUUUCUAAGGAGCAGAUCAUAAACGUAUUUAAGCUUUGCAUGCCACAUGGUCUCCACAGCAACUACUCAACUCUGCCCUUGCAGCAUGAAAUCAGCUAUAGACAAUACGUAAAUGAAUGGGUGUGGCUGUGUUUCAAUAAAACUUUAUUUACAGAAGCAGGUGUAAGACAGAUUAGGCCUGGGGCCUUUCUGUAGUUUGCAGCCCUCUGUUUUAAAAGAAUUUCAGAGCAUUGGGAAGUUGUUCCCUCUGCAGCUGGGAAGAACUUGGCUUAGAAAAGAAGUGAAUUUCCAUCCCCGGGAGGUGGGAAUCCUGUCCAAGAUGUCUGGUUUCCACUUCUGGGUGAUGGAUGGGGGAAGAGCAGCCGCACACGCUGUCUGGACAGUGGGCUCUCGAGAGGGGCUGGCGGUGCCCGGGAGGGGUCAGGCCCCGAUGGCGCGGGCUCUGAAGACUGCCAGCGCGAGCCUCCUGUCCUGCCCACUCGCGGUGCGUGCUCCCUGGGGGGGAGGGGGUGCUGGGGGCAGGACCCUGGAGGUGCACGGCCGGCCGGUUCCCUUGCUCGGGCCAAUGGGCCUCGGGCUGCCGCGGACGUGGUUCAUGGAAGGAAUGUGUCUGCAGUUCCAAAUUCCCACAGAGAAAGACAAGGGGGACCGUUGGGGAGAAAUUCCUGGGCCACAUUUUUCUUGCUGCUCAUGUGGCCUGAAGCCAUUGAACUUGGCCAGACUGCCCAGAGAGGGAGUUUACAAAGCCCAUUGUCCUUUGCUGAGCCUCACCCCCGCCCCUGCUCCCACCUGCUCUUUCUGUCUUCCUUUCUUUCCUCUCCCACCGCCAGGAGAAGUGCAGCAUGGGAAAGAGCAGGCGGCCCCAGCAUGGGCUUCCGCUCCCUGCCCCAGACCGAGGCCAGAACCCUAUUACAAUCCCCAUUUUCCUGCUGGGGAAACUGAGGCACAGAGCUGCUCAGUGACUUACCUGGGGCCCCGCAGCUAGUAAGUGGAAGAGACAGGAUUUGGAUUGAGGUGUCUGGCUCCAGCGCGACCCUUACCUGUCACUCUCGGUGUGUGACCCCUCAGCUCAGUAUCCCAUUUACAGAUAAAGCCCUAAGGGCGUGUCACCGCAGUUCAGUUCCAGCAACAAUUCAGGGGACAAAGCAUUUGCACAGAUAGGCCCUGCGCCCUCUGGAGGCUCCCAGCACCCCCGAGUGCCACAGAAGCCCAGCCCCUCCACCAGGAGCUAGGCCCGCUUAGCUGGGAGCACAGCACUGUGAGCUGGGGGUAACCAGUCCCCCUUGCUGUUGUCGCCAUUGCUGCCGCAGCUGCGGACGGUGCAAGGGGGGGACCUCAUUACCGGGGAGCCUUUGAGAGUUUGCAAAGUGCCAGCCCCUCGGCUUGGCGACUUACGUGCACUAUAUGUCACUGACAUGGCAACCCUGGGAGGGAGUGUUGACAAGCCUGUGUCACAGGUAAGGAAACCAGCACAUUAACGGGCUGAUGGAUGCUCGCUGCUGUGACGCAGGGCAAAUCUCAGUGGAUUAACCCUAUAAACACUUUCUUGCUCAGGUCACCACCUCUUGUGGGCCAGCACGAAAGGGAGGAGGGAGGGGGCUCUGCUCCAUGUGCUCACUCGGGGACUCAGGCUACUUCUAGGAUCACAGCGUCCUCCCCUGGAUCCCUCCCGUCUGCUUGUCAGAGGAGGGCAAUGGGAGCGGGAGAGGUCAGGGGGUUUGCGGGGCUGCGAGUGGCCUGUGUCGCCGUCCCACUCACAUUCCACUUUCCAGAGGGCAGUCACGUGGCUGUCUUCCUGCGGGGGAGGCUGGGACGCAGAGUCUGUCUGCAGGGCCCUAGGAAAAGGCAGGGGGUUUGGCUGCCACCCUGGGCUUCAGAGCAGUGAGGUGCCGUGAGGGGCUGUGGAGACGUUUGAUGCCCAAGCUUGUGUUUUGCCACCAGGCUGCCUUGACUGGAACGGAUGCUGAGCUGUCUGCAGUGAAUUCCAGCUUCCAGCAUCUUGAAAGACCCUCGGUCCUUCCACGGGGCUGGGGAUGGGGCUGAAGGUCCCGAGGGCUGUGAGGAUGAGCUGGGACACGAAGAGCUUGACCCGGUAAAUGCCCCACAGGCUGUCCCUCCUAGCGCUGCUGCAGCCAGCAGUGCUGGGCAUGGGGAGGGCUGGACUGAGAGGAUUUCAGCCCCGAGGAGAGAGGUGGGGGCGGCCGAGUCCACAGGAAGGAGUUCCAGCACGUGUGCUUGCUGCUGCCAGCUGGGUGGGAAGGAGAAGGCGCAGGACCACCCGCUUCCCAUGGCUGGUUCUGGGGAGAAGUGUCCAGGCCACUUCUGUCCGUCUCGAUGCCCAACAGGCAGCUGAGCAGAAGCUGGCCGUGACCAUGUGUCUAAAGCAUGGACACAGGGAUGGGUGAAGCUCCUGUCCCCCAGGGUUUUGCUGUGGAAGCAGCAACUCCUCCAGGAUGUUCUGCCCAGGCCUUGACAUCCUGCUCAGUCCGGAGGGCUCCCUGCCACGUAAGGCAGAGCCUCUGGGUACACUGUGGAUUCCUGUACCUAGUUACUCCCACAGGACGCUGGGAUGCCCGGGACGAUGGGCAUGGGGUGGGCCCCCUCUAGCUGGCCUUGGUGGUGGCAAUGAGAUUCCAGCUGGACGGGGAUGUGCUGCUGAGCUCGACAGAAGUGCCCCCUUGGGAGGGAGAGGCCUGGCAGUCUCUCCAGAGACACAUAGGACCUCUGGCACAGGACCGGCUGCUGAGGGACAGGGUCCACAAGCUCCUAGUGCCAUCCUCUGCCAGGUCACACACAGGCGCGCACACACACACACACACACAGACAUACACAAUUUCCAGGGGCCUGUUGGUUUCCGAUGGCUGGGUCAGACCCAGUUCUAGUGUCUGAUAACUCCCCAGGACCACUGCGCCUCACCUCCUAUUUACUCAGUACCAGCUGGGGCUCAGUCACCCUCAAAGCCUCUCCUUCUGUGGCCUCCACACCCUUCCUGCACCCAGGUCUGGGUCCACCCAACAGAUUUCCUGAACACCGAACCCCGGAAGCAUUUUUCACACGAUGGACUCCAACCAUUCGAGGGUCAUGAAAUCAAAGCAGUGGGUCUUGACCAGUAUUUUUAAAAGUGAGAUAGACUCCUAUAGAACAGACAGUGCCAGUGGGCACUGCAUGUAGGAACGGCCCUGCUUCGUGACACCCUUGUCUCAGCGUGCGCUGGGCCCUGCAGUGCCAUAUCAUGUUUAUUUCUCAUUAUCAAAAAAAGUGUCAAAACACUGUGUUGGCAUGUCCAUCUCAUUUCUUCCAGAAAACUGGGGCUCUUUGUGCAAAUUAGUCCACAAAUUUCUCCUCCUCCUUUAUCUCUGCUGCCAGCUCCCCGUCUGCUGCAUGCCAAAGAUGGGCACAGUCUUGGCCAAGCCACUCAAAAACAAAAAACUGGACCCACCACCAACAGGCACUAAAGGUCCUGUUAUGAGCCCACCCCAGGACUCCGGCUGCUUAUUUGUCUGUCAUUUGCACACCCAACAGGGCCACUUAAGUGAUGCUUCAUGGGACAAAGAAGAUCAGCUUCUCCCAAUUUAAAGAACAGAACAGAACAGAGAGAACCCUCGGCCCUGGACAUUCCUUCCGUGCUGGCUCCUGCACAGUGGGCUGGGCGGACAGCACUUUCUCCAACAUAUUCCUUUGACAGUUAUUUGUGUCGCGCCACUCUGUGCCAGACACAGGAAACCAAACCAGAAGCCCUGCCCCCGAUGCCCCUUCUCAGCCCAGGCCCGAGUAGGUGUGAUGAGGACCCACGGCUCCCGCCUGCCUCUCCAGGCCUCUUCCUCCCAGAGGAAGGUGCUGCCCGCUGUGGGUAUGUUCCGGCCGGCCCCACGUGCUCCAGCUCCACCCCAAGCCUGCCAGGAGAGGCCUGGUUCUCCAGGAUGCUGGGAUCCUCGACCAGUCUUACACUGCGGGGAGGGGAGGUCCUCAAGGGUAUUGAGCACCUGCUGUGUACUAGGCACUGCUGUAUCCCGCCAUCCCCGCCAAGGCCCAUCAAGGUCAUUAUUACCACCAUCCCACGAGGCUCAGGGAGGUGAGGGGGCUUUCCUACGCGGUGCUCACAGCCCGGAAAAGCCAGUUCUUUCCCGGAUCUCUCGGACUCUCGCCUCUCUGCUUUUCCCAGAGGGGCUGCAGGAAGAGGGGAAACCCACAGGGGCGGAGCGGAGGAAGGCAAGCCAGGUCUUGUGGGUUCGGGCCCCAAGAGCGUGGGCUGGAUUGCUGAGGUCAGUGGAAGCAGGGUCCUACCGAGAAGGGCCAGUGGCUCUGGCAGCUUCACGGCUGUAUUAGUUGCCCAGGGCUGCCGUGACAAAUUGCCACGGACAGGUGGCCUACAACAACAGGAAUUUGUUCUCUCAGAGUUCUGGAAGCUACAAGUCCAAAAUCAUGGUGUUGGCAGGGCCGCGUUCCCUCCGAAGGCUGAGGGAAGGAUCUUUUCUGUGCCUUUCUAGUAGCUUCUAGGUGUUCCCAGGCAAUCCCCGGCAUUCCUUGGCUGGUAGCCCCAUCACUCCAGUCUCCGUCUCCAUCUUCGCAUGACCUCUUCCUCGCGUGUCUGUGUGUUCACAUCUCCCUCUCCUUUCUUUUCCCAGCUUUAUUGAGGUAUAAUUGGCAAAUAAAAUUCUAAGAUAUUUAAAGUGUCUAUACGUGUACAUUAGGAAAGGAUUCGCCCCAUCUAGUCAGUUAACGCACUCAUCGCCUCACAGGUAUCUUAUUUUUUGGUGAGAACAUUUACAUUCUACUCUCAUCCCAUUUCAAUUAUACGAUCCAAUUACAGUUGUCACCUGUAGUCACCACGCUUCCCGUGAGAUCCUCAGAACUCAUUCACCUUAUAGCUGACAAAUUUCCCUCUUCUUAUAAGGACACGGGUAUUGAAUUUGGGGCCCACCCUACUCCGGUAUGACCUCAUCUUAACAAAUUGCAUCAGCGAAGAAGCUAUUUACAAAUAAGGCCACAUUCUGAGGUUUUGGGUGGACAUGAAUUUUUUAGGGGUAACAAUGACCUCGCGCUUUCCCAGGCGCGGCCUCCCCAGCUGUUUCCCGCUAGUCCAGUCUGCAGGACAGUGUUGGGGACAGCUGUGAGCUCAGAACCCAGGGGGCAUCUCUGACCUUCAGAAGGACUUCCAAUUCAGGUGUUUUCUAGUGACUGUAACCCCAGUUUUUAACAUUCUGGUACUCCAGAAGAAUGUGACUUUAAAAAAUGCUGAGCUACAGGUGUUUUAGUGAUAUAUUUUUUAAAAAUCGGAAACGUUUAUGCUCCCAGAUAUGCUGCAGUGGAAGUUUGGAUCCAGUAAAGGCAAACUUGUCUAGAAAGUCGUCUUCUCUUCCUCCAAAAUCCACGGAGGAGGAAGAGAACCACUAAGUCCUUAUUCUGGUUCAAAGGCUUCCCAGACCAGUGGCAUUCAAACACAACGGCCUGGAAAUUGCUCCAGCGACCGUCCACACCUCCACCUCUCCAGGGGAACGCUGGGGAAGACAGAGACAAACUGGGAACUCUUCCUUUGAGUUAAAACUAGAGCUCGUGAUCAAUUCAAAAAUGGAGUUCCUGCCAACAACAAAAAGAAGUGAAAAAAAAAAUCUCUAAAGUAUCGACUAAGAAAUAGGAUUAUUCGAAGAUGAAGAGCUCAAAAAAUAAGAUUUGUAGGGGCCGGCCUGGUGGCACAUCGGUUGAGUUCGCACGUUCUG